rnacentral:rRNA from 1 species
UACGGAGGGUGCAAGCGUUAUCCGGAUUUACUGGGUUUAAAGGGUGUGUAGGCGGGCUGUUAAGUCAGUGGUGAAAUCUCUGGGCUCAACCCGGAAACUGCCAUUGAUACUAAUGGUCUUGAAUUUUGUUGAGGUAGGCGGAAUAAGUCAUGUAGCGGUGAAAUGCAUAGAUAUGACUUAGAACACCAAUUGCGAAGGCAGCUUGCUAAACAAAUAUUGACGCUGAGGCACGAAAGCGUGGGGAUCAAACAGG